CCUACGGGAGGCAGCAGUGGGGAAUAUUGCACAAUGGGGGAAACCCUGAUGCAGCGACGCCGCGUGAGUGAAGAAGUAUUUCGGUAUGUAAAGCUCUAUCAGCAGGGAAGAAAUAAAGUUCUUCGGACUUUGGACGGUACCUGACUAAGAAGCCCCGGCUAACUACUUGCCAGCAGCCGCGGUAAUACGUAGGGGGCAAGCGUUAUCCGGAUUUACUGGGUGUAAAGGGAGCGUAGACGGAAGCGCAAGUCUGGAGUGAAAUCCCAUGGCUUAACCAUGGAACUGCUGUGGAAACUGUGCAGCUGGAGUGCAGGAGAGGUAAGCGGAAUUCCUAGUGUAGCGGUGAAAUGCGUAGAUAUUAGGAGGAACACCAGUGGCGAAGGCGGCUUACUGGACUGUAACUGACGUUGAGGCGCGAAAGCGUGGGGAGCAAACAGGAUUAGAUACCCUUGUAGUC
rnacentral:rRNA from 1 species